rnacentral:rRNA from 1 species
GGGGGGGCUAAACUGGCAGUCGAGCGAGCUUGCCUAGAUGAUUUUAAUGCUUGCACUAAAUGAAACUAGAUACAAGCGAGCGGCGGACGGGUGAGUAACACGUGGGUAACCUGCCCAAGAGACUGGGAUAACACCUGGAAACAGAUGCUAAUACCGGAUAACAACACUAGACGCAUGUCUAGAGUUUGAAAGAUGGUUCUGCUAUCACUCUUGGAUGGACCUGCGGUGCAUUAGCUAGUUGGUAAGGUAACGGCUUACCAAGGCAAUGAUGCAUAGCCGAGUUGAGAGACUGAUCGGCCACAUUGGGACUGAGACACGGCCCAAACUCCUACGGGAGGUAGCAGUAGGGAAUCUUCCACAAUGGACGAAAGUCUGAUGGAGCAACGCCGCGUGAGUGAAGAAGGGUUUCGGCUCGUAAAGCUCUGUUGGUAGUGAAGAAAGAUAGAGGUAGUAACUGGCCUUUAUUUGACGGUAAUUACUUAGAAAGUCACGGCUAACUACGUGCCAGCAGCCGCGGUAAUACGUAGGUGGCAAGCGUUGUCCGGAUUUAUUGGGCGUAAAGCGAGUGCAGGCGGUUCAAUAAGUCUGAUGUGAAAGCCUUCGGCUCAACCGGAGAAUUGCAUCAGAAACUGUUGAGCUUGAGUGCAGAAGAGGAGAGUGGAACUCCAUGUGUAGCGGUGGAAUGCGUAGAUAUAUGGAAGAACACCAGUGGCGAAGGCGGCUCUCUGGUCUGCAACUGACGCUGAGGCUCGAAAGCAUGGGUAGCGAACAGGAUUAGAUACCCUGGUAGUCCAUGCCGUAAACGAUGAGUGCUAAGUGUUGGGAGGUUUCCGCCUCUCAGUGCUGCAGCUAACGCAUUAAGCACUCCGCCUGGGGAGUACGACCGCAAGGUUGAAACUC